AAGUCGUAACAAGGUAACCGUAGGUGAACCUGCGGUUGGAUCAUUAAUAAAUUCUAGAGCAGAGUUGAUCGAGCAAUCGUGAUCUCUGUUUCUUAACAAUUUGUGAAUCGUUUAUUGUCUCUUGUGGAUGACGGCUUCAAGUCGAAGUCUCUCCACACGUGAAUCUUAACAUUGUAAUACAACUAUUUGUCUUGAAACUUUAAACUUAAAAAAUUUAAAAACAACUUUUGACAACGGAUCUCUAGGCUCUC
rnacentral:misc_RNA from 1 species